rnacentral:misc_RNA from 1 species
GAUGAAGAACGCAGCGAAAUGCGAUAAGUAAUGUGAAUUGCAGAAUUCAGUGAAUCAUCGAAUCUUUGAACGCACCUUGCGCCCUUUGGCCAUUCCGAAGGGCAUGCCUGUUUGAGUAUCAUGAACACCUCAACUCUUUAUGGUUUUCCAUGAUGAGCUUGGACUUUGGGGGUUUUGCUGGCCUAUGGUCGGCUCCUCUAAAAUAAAUCAGCUUACCGGUGUUUGGUGGGUAUCAUGGGUGUGAUAACUAUCUACGCUUGUGGUUUGUCCACCAGGUAACCUUCGACAGCGGAGGUUCACUGGAGCUCAUAGAUGUCUCUCCUCAGCGAGGACAGCCCUUUGAAUGUUUGAUCUCAAAUCAGGUAGGACUACCCGCUGAACUUAAGCAUCUCAAUAAGCGGAGCA